rnacentral:misc_RNA from 1 species
UCCGAGUUGUCCCCGGCGGUCCCCUUAGAGUCCCCGGCAUUACCCGCUGGCAACUAAGGGCAGGGGUUGCGCUCGUUGCGGCACUUAAGCCAACACCUCACGGCACGAGCUGACGACAGCCAUGCAGCACCUGUGCAGGGCCCCGAAGGACACGGGCUUUCACCCGCUUUAACUAGCAUGUCAAGCCUAGGUAAGGUGGGGAUGACGUGAGAGAGUACGUCC